UGGACCUUUUUUUAUUUUUAUAGGGUGCUGAGAAUCUAAACCAGUGUCUGACACAUGCUAGGCAAGUGCUCUACCACUGAACCACAACCCCAGCCGCUCUACAUUUAACCUUUUGAGGAACUGUCAGACUUCUGAGCAGCUGCACCUUUUACUCUCCCAUCAGCAGUGUAAAGGGUUCUAAUUUCUCAUCCUAACCAACACAUUAUUAGACUUCCUGAUUAUAGACAUCCUAGUGAUCAGGAAAUGGUAUCUAGUAGUUUUGAUUUGCAUUUUUUGAUGACCAGUUGACUAAAAGGUGUUGACCUUUCAUGUGCUCAUUGGCCAUCAGUUUUGGAGAACUAAUUCUGUAAAAGGAUAAACAAGUUUAUUUAUCUCUUUAUUAAUGAGUUAUAGUUAUACUGAUUCUGUGCCACCCCCUUUAUUUUGUUUUGGUGCUGGGGAUUGAAUCCAGGGCCUUGCACAUGGUAACCAAAAUCUAUCAGUGAACUAUACCACUAGCCCUUCUGUCUAAUCUUUUUGAUAAUUCUUCCAACAUAUUACAGAUUUAUGCAAUCAUUUCUUAGAAAAUAUCUCUGGAAAUAUUGGAAUCUUCCCCUCUUUGAUUGCAGUGGUUCACAGUGAGCUAAGCAUUCUGUGGCUAAUAAAAAAGGGCAAAGGAAAUUUUAAAAAUUGAGUCUCUUCUCUUAGCUGGUCCCAAUUUGUGUCCUUUUUUACAUGACAAAUCAGUAAUUAUAGGAUUCGUGCUCUCCUAACCUCAGUGAGAUGUUAAUAGAAAAUUAUACAAUAGGAUCAUGGGAAUCCCCGAAUUUGCA
rnacentral:lncRNA from 1 species